UUUCUCGGCGUAUUUCAGCUAUGAACUCUUAACGGGUUAUCAGUCGAGUUGCGUCGUGUACUUGUCGCAACGUUUCAGUGGACUGCGUAUCAAUCAUCGCCUGAAGAUAAUGGAUAUGCAAUCCAUUGAAACCUUGCGACUAGAAGACGACGCCACUCGGUUGAUACUCCGUGAAGAUUUCAUGUAUGUCUAUCGUUUUCGAUACAACGCGUACACGUCAUAACGACGUCAGUCGUGAUUCCAUCAACGUGGAGUAAGACUCCAGCGCCAGGCGUUUUACUGGCGUGAUACACUCCGUGUAUGGACAUACUUUUAUUUCUAGAUUUUUUUUAAAUUUUCUUUCAGGAGUAUAAUCCCAAGCGAAGAUAUUUUAUAAGCCCCAAUAAAAUGACUGCCAUAUUGAAUGUGCCCUAAACUCGAUACUGCGUUUUUACGGUACGACAAAUUUCUUUGGAGCGACUGCAACGAUUCAGACAGAACUGAAGUUCAUUUGUUAAUGCAAUCACUUCGAUGGGAGUGGCUGUGUUGGUACUAAAUAGGAGGGCGCUGUUGUGCGGAAGUUUUGCAGUGUUGCACAAUUUGACAGACAGUCGUUAAGUGGCGUCUGCUACAUAGCAUUGUGUAGAAGGCCUGUGUAGCGCAUCGCAUAGGUUGUCAAGCUGCCUGAAAGCAGG